rnacentral:rRNA from 1 species
AUUGAACGCUGGCGGCAUGCCUAACACAUGCAAGUCGAACGGGGUGUAGCAAUACAUCUAGUGGCGGACGGGUGAGGAAUACAUAGGAAUUUACCCUUAAGUGGGGGAUAGUCCGGGGAAACGUACGGUUUAAUACCGCAUGAUCUCGUGAGAGCAAAGCAGGGGACCGCAAGGCCUUGCGCUUUUGGAGAAGCCUAUGUCGGAUUAGCUAGUUGGUAGGGUAAUGGCCUACCAAGGCGACGAUCCGUAACUGGUCUGAGAGGAUGAUCAGUCACACCGGAACUGAGACACGGUCCGGACUCCUACGGGAGGCAGCAGUGGGGAAUAUUGGACAAUGGGCGCAAGCCUGAUCCAGCAAUGCCGCGUGUGUGAAGAAGGCCUUCGG